rnacentral:rRNA from 1 species
GAUGAACGCUGGCGGCGUGCCUAAUACAUGCAAGUCGAGCGAACAGAUAAGGAGCUUGCUCCUUUGACGUUAGCGGCGGACGGGUGAGUAACACGUGGGUAACCUACCUAAAAGACUGGGAUAACUUCGGGAAACCGGAGCUAAUACCGGAUAAUAUUUCGAACCGCAUGGUUCGAUAGUGAAAGAUGGUUUUGCUAUCACUUAUAGAUGGACCCGCGCCGUAUUAGCUAGUUGGUAAGGUAACGGCUUACCAAGGCGACGAUACGUAGCCGACCUGAGAGGGUGAUCGGCCACACUGGAACUGAGACACGGUCCAGACUCCUACGGGAGGCAGCAGUAGGGAAUCUUCCGCAAUGGGCGAAAGCCUGACGGAGCAACGCCGCGUGAGUGAUGAAGGUCUUCGGAUCGUAAAACUCUGUUAUUAGGGAAGAACAUACGUGUAAGUAACUGUGCACGUCUUGACGGUACCUAAUCAGAAAGCCACGGCUAACUACGUG